UACGGAGGGUGCAAGCGUUAAUCGGAAUUACUGGGCGUAAAGCGUGCGCAGGCGGUUUGUUAAGUCUGCUGUGAAAUCCCCGAGCUCAACUUGGGAAUUGCAGUGGAUACUGGCAGGCUGGAGUAUGGUAGAGGAAGGUGGAAUUCCCGGUGUAGCAGUGAAAUGCGUAGAGAUCGGGAGGAACACCAGUGGCGAAGGCGGCCUUCUGGACCGGCAUUGACGCUGAGUGAGCGAAAGCCAGGGGAGCAAACGGG
rnacentral:rRNA from 1 species